GCCCGGAGCAGCAAUCCGCAGCCAGUGGAAGCCGUGAUCGGCCGGACCUGUGGACGGGGCAGGAGCCCACUGGGGUAGGUCUUGUGGCAGAAGAAUGUCCUUUCCUGAGGGAAGAGGGGAAUUUACUAAAGCUGAAUGUUCCUAGGCCCAGAACUCAAACAUAAGGACUCAUCCACCUGAGAGAUCAAACCCCCAAACCUGGAUGGCUCAGAAGACUGAUGAUGGGAUAGAAGAGUCUUUCACCUAUCACUCAUGAGUAUACUCUGAUCUAUAACAGAAGUGAUGGACAAUUUGUAUACCGUCUAAUAGCUAUUCAAUGACUUAGGCACAAAUUUGUGGUCUUUGUCAGAUUCUUGGUGGUCCAAAUCAUUAAAACCAUCACCACCACUACUUUUGCUAGAAGUUGUGGUGAAGAGGACAAGCACAUUGUGACAAGGCAGUCUGAAGAAGUUUACAAUGUUCUUGUCCGUUCUCAAAUUGUCCCGUUGACUUCAGUUGGAACACUUCUAGAGUGAGGCACCUUUCAUCAAGAACUCAUCAGGACGCUGACAGACCUGGUAUCUGACCUGCAUCUCAGGAAACACCAUUUGUGUGCCAUUGGAAAAAUCCCACCCUGCAAUGCAUGCACUGGAGAUGCAUUGGGAGAAAAAAAUCGCAGUGCUGAUUUUCAUGAGAUAUCUCUUCUCACUCUCUCCCAGCCUCCUUUAUGCAGACACACACGUUGCUGGGUUUAAGGGCUCUGGUAAUGGGACAAAUAUGGUCUACUUUACUGCUUAAGUCGAUCUAUAUUACACUGCUCAGGGAUACGAAAAAGCCCC